UACGAAGGGUGCAAGCGUUACUCGGAAUCACUGGGCGUAAAGCGUGCGUAGGCGGUUCGUUAAGUCUGUUGUGAAAGCCCUGGGCUCAACCUGGGAACUGCAGUGGAUACUGGCGAGCUAGAGUACGGUAGAGGAAGGUGGAAUUCCCGGUGUAGCGGUGAAAUGCGUAGAGAUCGGGAGGAACACCAGUGGCGAAGGCGGCCUUCUGGACCAGUACUGACGCUGAGGCACGAAAGCCAGGGGAGCAAACGGG
rnacentral:rRNA from 1 species